rnacentral:ncRNA from 1 species
CAUAGUGAUGUGGAAUCUGAAGGAAACUUGCGGCAAAAGUCUGACUAGGCGAACUGAAAUCAGAUAUAAGGCUAAAGUGUGAGGAUGUACCUCGUAGUAGUGAAGAAAUCUCUGUAAUAUAAAGUUGUAA